GAUAAAUGUAAUGCAAAUUUUCAAUUUCAUGCACUAGAUUAUUUAAAUGUUCGAUAUUGUAUUGAUCAUUAACAGAAAUAUCUACAUUCUACGUUUACUAUUUAAUCAACUUCAUUUUGAUUAAAUCAUUUAAUCAUUUUGUUCAUUGUAGUUCUUGAAAUCGUCGGUAUUAAAACGGAUACUAUCAACAUUGUACGAUUAAUUUAUCUUUCCUUUUUUCCGUUUUUUAUUCCCUCAAUAAACUUUUCGCCUUAUUUUCAGAAUCUGAGGCAUUGCAAAGGAUUCAUCUCAUGCACUUGUGUGCAACGCAGCUUCCUUCGAAUAAAGGCGAGUGCAGAGUGAAUCCUUAAAUUUAACUAAGUAAUUAAAAAUAAAAAAGAAAUAGUAAUGGGGCAUUUCGUCUCGACCGAAUUCUAAAUUUUUUCGAGUAACCUACAGUUCAGUGUAUAUCUCAACUAUAAAUAAGUACGUCUACAGUCUCAACGUCGCCAUUUUUGCGAGGGAAAUCCACCGUUCUCGCUACUGUAUGUACUUAUCUAAGUCUGUGACAAUAGAAAGGAUUAUCUGAAUUACCGACGCGUAUAACACUCGGUUCAAACGUAACGUCCUAAAAAUAGAGCCUGCAAAUUCUAUUAAAAAAGCACUGGGCAAAGAUCUGGUUAGAUAUGUUAACGAGACAGACAUCGUUUAUGAUGCAGUUAUGCAACGAAUGAUCAAGAAUUGUCGAGAAUGAUAAUCGAAGAAGGAAUUCAAGGAUUACUUACAUCUAUUUUUUUUAUUAAUAGGAUAUAACUUAUGUAAACAUGAUACGUUAACGAAAUUACAAACUACUACACAGCGUAAUAAGUUUUAAACAAAUACGAUACACGAUUAUAUAAAAUUUUUUUAGACGCAUCUCCAUGCUAUAUAAUAUUAUAUAUAUCGUAUGUUUCGUAAAAAUAUUAUGAUGUUAAUUGAUUCUUCACGAAAAAGACACUCCGGACGAUUUACGAUCGUAGAAAAUAUAUUAAUCCUACAUGUACAAAUAUGUUGAUACAUGAAACGACCUCGAAAUAAUAUAAUUAACGCGUGCCGAGAUUAGUUUCGCCUCGCUUCGUAUCGUCUCGUAAGAAUCAACUAAUCGAGCAUCGUCGUCUAGAAAAAACGUUGCUAAUAAACUGAAUCAAUUUAUACCAAUUAUGAGUUGGCACGAAACAUUUUCACGUGGAUUUAAAUGAACAAUAUAAACAGGAAACGAUUUUACGAUCGCGCGUGAAGCGUUCCAGCCUGAAAAUCAACUGUAAUCGAGCUCAACCGACCGAAACCCUCGACGAAACCAAACGCAAUCAGAGACUCUCGCGUAAUAGAAAGCAUUACUUGCAGGUCUAUUAUGCACUGGAGGUUUCCUUCGAUGAAGAACAAUUGGGGAGAUAUUUGUAAAUUGGACAGGUUUCAAGUUUUUAUAUUUCUGAUUUACUCAUUUUUAAAGUUUGUCAGUUUGAAAAUUCAAAUAUAUUACGAGUUACGCUAUUACCCUAGGACCUAGAGAAUAAGGAAGCUCAUCAUGCAGAUCGGUCUACCUGUCGUGUAUAAUCUACAGAUAUUUUUACCAUUGAAAAGCGUUGCGAAAGCUACUUUAGAUAUUUUUCUAAGUUCGAAAACGAUGACGAAAGACGGAAGAACACUGUACUCGAGAACAGUAUCGGUAUCCGAACGUUUCACAAUUUGGGUAUGCAAUUGUUUUCAAAGAGAAAUACAAAUAAUUAAUUUGCUGAUUUCAUUUUUUCGAAUUCCGACUGUCCGAAUUUUCGAUGAACGCACGAAUCGUUCAACGUGCAAAUAGUAAUCAUCAUCGAACUCUCCGUGUAUGAGUCAAAAACGUUUAAUAUUCUUUUCAUAGCACGAUGCGAUGACAUCAUUUGUUAUAAAGACAAUCGAUUACCGCGAAUUUCGCAUCGAAGGCUACGCGUUCGCGCUUUUACGUUGAAUUUAUUACUCAUUCAAUGUAUCAUUUCGACUGUUGUCGGUAUCAGCCUGUUUUUUUUAACAUGUUUAUAACGCAAUGAAGUUUCUAGUAAUAACUUUGGUGUGACUAAAGAAUAAAUCAUCUGUUUGUUAUUUCUGUUUUUGCAGCACCACCGAAGGAUCAAAUCUAUACACCGCUAAUCUGCUUUACUGUGACUUCCGAAGCAGUGAAUCAAUGGAUACGAGACUAAUUUUACUAUGUAUUGGAAAAUCCAAAAGCACAGUUUAGAAACGGUAGAUUCUAUAAUUCCGCUUUCCAUUCAUUGAUCGAGAAAUCGAAGCUGGAUGGUAAGCGCAACGCAAACGAGAACGCAGAGUGCACACGGUGGUACAUGAUGACUCCUAGAUUUAAGCUGUUAAUCUCAGGUGCACGGUGCGCGUUCUCAGAGGAGUUUUGUAAUCUUCCGAGCCUCUCCCUGGGCGUUCGUUGACUCGCGGUUCAGGGCUAAGCCUCGGCUACGUUUGUAGCGCGUAUUAAUGUGCGUGUGCCUCGUUUUGCCGCAAAACUGGGACGCUGCGUGCUGAAAGAGGAGACAAUUGUGGGAAGAGAGGUUGAAAGCGAGAUUGCCUCGAUGCUACUUGACCGUACGUCUUUGAGUUUUUCCAACGAAUAACAAUUUCCGAUAAAAUAGUAGAGUGGUUUCUUUAUUUUUUAUCGUAUCACCUUUCUGGCGAAAGGUUACAAACGAUGCGCGUGCAUUUGAUCCGCGAUUCAUUUUCGAUGUCGAAAUUUUCAACUGUGAAAUUUAUAAAUUCUUAAACUCGUAAAUUUCUGUAUUUCGCGCGAUCCUUAUCACCGACCUAACUCAGAGUACUCUUCAACAGAAUAGAAAGUAAUUCAGCCUAGCUCUCGCAAGCUUUGACGGCAGUCCUGGUUUUCGAUUAAUCGCAGCCGAGCAUGCGGAUUCUGGCUAUCGGCUGAAAGAGCGACGAUCGCGUUACCGAAUAUAACUUAUGGACUAUUCUGUUGGUAAAUCGAUGAAAAUUCAAUUACAGAUAUAACUUGUACAUGGUGUUAAAAUCGUAAUCGAUAACGCGUGAGCCGUGGUGCGUGCAGAUGCAAAAACUGUUUAGAGAAAUUGAAUUACAGGGAGGAGAGUUGGCGUUGUACGAAGGAAUCGGUAAUAGGAUUCUGAUCGACGCGUUAACGAGGCGAACGUUCCGGAUCGAUCCAGCUUCGAACGAAUAAGAAUAAGAAGAAUAGUUGGCAUUAAUUACUACGAAAUGGCGGAAAAUUGUUGCGUUCACCAAGGCUUAGACAAAUGACUCAUAACGCGACAUUUUCGAACGGUGUGUGGUAUACAAUUUCAAUUCAUCGUCGCGAAUAAGGCCAUAUGCAUUAAAGCUAUUUGUACAUGUGUAGUGUACACAAUAAUUUGCACACGCAUACAUACAUACAUACAUACAUACAGAUAUAUAUUAUAUAUAGUAUACGUAUUCACAGUUUAAGCUGUAAGGCGACGAGACUUAAGGUACUUAUUAGAUUCAUUUCCGUCCUUCUCCUUAUUUUCAUUAAACGAUAAAACAACCAUGAGAAAACGUAAAUAUCAUUUUAUCGAGAUUUAUAGAUCCGCGAUAUAGU
rnacentral:lncRNA from 1 species